rnacentral:rRNA from 1 species
AAGGUAGCUCCCAUGGCUGACGUCAGCUCGUGUUCAUGAGAAUGGUGGGUNAAGUCCCACAACGAGCGCAACCCUUUUCUUUACUUGCCAGCAUUUCGGAUGGGAACUUUAAGGAUACUGCCAGUGACAAACUGGAGGAAGGCGGGGACGACGUCAAGUCAUCAUGGCCCUUACGGCCAGGGCUACACACGUGCUACAAUGGUCGGUACAAAGGGUUGCUACACAGCGAUGUGAUGCUAAUCUCAAAAAGCCGAUCGUAGUCCGGAUUGGAGUCUGCAACUCGACUCCAUGAAGUCGGAAUCGCUAGUAAUCGCGGAUCAGAAUGCCGCGGUGAAUACGUUCCCGGGCCUUGUACACACCGCCCGUCACANCCAUGGGAGUUUGUUGCACCCAGAAGUAGCUAGCCUAACUGCAAAGAGGGCGGUUACCCACCGGGUGCCCNUUGGUUUUUUU